rnacentral:rRNA from 1 species
CCGGUAAACGGCGGCCGUAACUAUAACGGUCCUAAGGUAGCGAAAUUCCUUGUCGGGUAAGUUCCGACCUGCACGAAUGGCGUAAUGAUGGCCAGGCUGUCUCCACCCGAGACUCAGUGAAAUUGAACUCGCUGUGAAGAUGCAGUGUACCCGCGGCAAGACGGAAAGACCCCGUGAACCUUUACUAUAGCUUGACACUGAACAUUGAGCCUUGAUGUGUAGGAUAGGUGGGAGGCUUUGAAGUGUGGACGCCAGUCUGCAUGGAGCCGACCUUGAAAUACCACCCUUUAAUGUUUGAUGUUCUAACGUUGGCCCCUAAUCGGGGUUGCGGACAGUGUCUGGUGGGUAGUUUGACUGGGGCGGUCUCCUCCUAAAGAGUAACGGAGGAGCACGAAGGUUGGCUAAUCCUGGUCGGACAUCAGGAGGUUAGUGCAAUGGCAUAAGCCAGCUUGACUGCGAGCGUGACGGCGCGAGCAGGUGCGAAAGCAGGUCAUAGUGAUCCGGUGGUUCUGAAUGGAAGGGCCAUCGCUCAACGGAUAAAAGGUACUCCGGGGAUAACAGGCUGAUACCGCCCAAGAGUUCAUAUCGACGGCGGUGUUUGGCACCUCGAUGUCGGCUCAUCACAUCCUGGGGCUGAAGUAGGUCCCAAGGGUAUGGCUGUUCGCCAUUUAAAGUGGUACGCGAGCUGGGUUUAGAACGUCGUGAGACAGUUCGGUCCCUAUCUGCCGUGGGCGCUGGAGAACUGAGGGGGGCUGCUCCUAGUACGAGAGGACCGGAGUGGACGCAUCACUGGUGUUCGGGUUGUCAUGCCAAUGGCACUGCCCGGUAGCUAAAUGCGGAAGAGAUAAGUGCUGAAAGCAUCUAAGCACGAAACUUGCCCCGAGAUGAGUUCUCCCUGACUCCCUGAGAGUCCUGAAGGAACGUUG